UACGUAGGCAGCAAGCGUUGUUCGGAGUUACUGGGCGUAAAGGAUGCGUAGGCGGCUUUUUAAGUUUGGUGUGAAAUCUCCCGGCUCAACUGGGAGGGUGCGCCGAAUACUGAAUGACUAGAGUGCGGGAGAGGAUAGUGGAAUUCCUGGUGUAGCGGUGAAAUGCGUAGAUAUCAGGAGGAACACCGGUGGUGUAGACGGCUAUCUGGACCGUAACUGACGCUGAGGCACGAAAGCGUGGGUAGCAAACAGG
rnacentral:rRNA from 1 species